AUGUUCCCUUUCACUGAGCCCGUGAGGAGGAUGAGAAAAGGAGCAUUUCAUGUCAUUCACGGAUCUUUGCUGAUAAUUUGGAGCAAUGCCUCAUGGAAGACAAUGCAAUGGACAGCCAGGCUGUUUGUUUUCUGCAGGCUCAGUCCUGCAAACAACCAGGGAUGCAAGUGCUGGGAGCUGGCAAAGCACAUGGAUAACCAGCAAGCGAUGGAAAUGGAGGUAGCGGAGAUGAGCACCCUCUCCCUGAAGGCAGCAUCCGGCAGCCCACGCCGGGCAAGGCAGGACUGAAGCCACACCUUCCUGCGUUCGCCUUACCUGUGCUGGUGGCUGUCUCACACCGCGGAGGAGAGAGCCUGGAUUAAAAACCACAGCGCCGGGGUGACAAAAAGAGAUGGUGGCAGCUCCGGCUGCCGACACACAUCCCAGGCACCGGCUCUGCCGGCUUUGAUCGAGCGUGCCAGGUCCCUCCCCAGCAAUCACCAGGAAAUUGAUGUAAACACUCCGGCAGCUUUUUGAGACCUUUCCUUCCCCUGCUUGAAAAGACACACAAUCCCUCGUGCUUGAGGAUGCAGCACAGAUUAUCUAGUCAGGGGCCGUGAUUAUCUCGUCAGGCUCCGCGGUGUUUAAUUAAGCUGUUUAUCGUGCUGUCGGUCUCCAUCCCGCCUGGAAGCGCGCCCUGGCAGCCAGCGCAGGGCGGGCGGAACGCGCGGGGCACACCCGCGGGCGGCGGAGCUGCGGGAGGAUGCUCCGCGGGGACGAGGGGUUAAUCGCCGCUCCGCACACAGCCCCUUUGUGCUGGGCGCUGCGGACUGACCCUGCCAAGCCAGGGCGGUGUGGGAGCCCCGGCCACUGCCAGGGGUUGUUGUUCGCCGCUCCGGGGACGGCUGCCAAGGUCCUGCGAGGUGCUGCCCUGGUUUCCUGCAGCGUUGGCGACAAACACCCAAAUAGCCCGUCUCUUCACCCAAACUAAGCUCGCACCAACCAGUGCCC
rnacentral:lncRNA from 1 species